UCACUGGUUGUUCAGUGGUAAAAUUCUUACCUUCCAGGCAAGAGGCCGGGUUCAAUUCCUGGCCAAUGCA
rnacentral:tRNA from 1 species